GAAUUUUAUAUAAAUUUAUUUAAAAUAUAAUUGGUAAAUAAAAAUAAAUUUAUGUUUAGUUGGGAGGAUAAUUAAAUUAAUAAAACUUUAAUUUGAUAAAGAUAAUAAUUAUUAAGAAAGAGUAAUAAAAAGUGUAUUUAAUAAAUUAAAAAAGAAAUAAUUACCUUAGGGAUAACAGCGUAAUAUUUUUAGAUAGAUCAUAUAUAUAAAAAUGAUUGC
rnacentral:rRNA from 1 species